rnacentral:rRNA from 1 species
CUGGGGCGGUCUCCUCCUAAAGAGUAACGGAGGAGCACGAAGGUUGGCUAAUCUUGGUCGGACAUCAGGAGGUUAGUGCAAUGGCAUAAGCCAGCUUGACUGCGAGCGUGACGGCGCGAGCAGGUGCGAAAGCAGGUCAUAGUGAUCCGGUGGUUCUGAAUGGAAGGGCCAUCGCUCAACGGAUAAAAGGUACUCCGGGGAUAACAGGCUGAUACCGCCCAAGAGUUCAUAUCGACGGCGGUGUUUGGCACCUCGAUGUCGGCUCAUCACAUCCUGGGGCUGAAGUAGGUCCCAAGGGUAUGGCUGUUCGCCAUUUAAAGUGGUACGCGAGCUGGGUUUAGAACGUCGUGAGACAGUUCGGUCCCUAUCUGCCGUGGGCGCUGGAGAACUGAGGGGGGCUGCUCCUAGUACGAGAGGACCGGAGUGGACGCAUCACUGGUGUUCGGGUUGUCAUGCCAAUGGCACUGCCCGGUAGCUAAAUGCGGAAGAGAUAAGUGCUGAAAGCAUCUAAGCACGAAACUUGCCCCGAGAUGAGUUCUCCCUGAGACUUUAAGUCUCCUGAAGGAACGUUGAAGACGACGACGUUGAUAGGCCGGGUGUGUAAGCGCAGCGAUGCGUUGAGCUAACCGGUACUAAUGAACCGUGAGGCUUAACCUUACAACGCCGAAG